AUCCAAGAGCUAAGAGACCUAAGGGAGAAAAAUACAGAAAAAGAAAAGUUGCUACUGUUCCAUUGAGACUUGGCUCUACACCUCGAAAUUUUCACUCUCUGAAACAUUUUUUUGGUCUGGACUUUGAAAUGGUUUGAGGUUUAGUCAGUGAGGUCAGAUUUUGGUGUUUAUCGAAUUGGCUAUGUGUUUUGAAGCUGGUGUUAGCUUACUGAAUUGCAUUUUACUGGGUUUUGAACUAUGAAGUUACUGUUUUAUUGGAUUUGGAACUAAUUCUGUGGUUUCAUCACUGAAUCUGGGCUGUUUUGUUGCUGCUAUCAAUCUCUGUUGAAGUACAAACUGUUGAUCCUUCUUUAUUUACUUGUUCCUUUCAUUUCAGGUACUCACACCUUCCAAUGUAUGAAAAUGGAUAAAUAUGAAGAUUGGUUCACUUGAAUAGAGAUUUAUAAUAAUGUAGUUGUUAUUCAAAAAAAAAGCUGCAAUCCGCCGUUUUCCUAUCAGACCUCCCCCACGCUCCUGCUUCUUCAUUCCUCAUCACCAUUAGAGAGCCUUAGACAGAGGAGCCGAAGCAGCUCCGCAAACCCCAAUAUCCAAAACACAAACAACCUCCAUGAUCGUCUUCUUCAUCAGAAAAGCCCCAAGAGAUGUACACUUGAGGAAGCAGUAGUUACACCCAAA
rnacentral:lncRNA from 1 species